CCUACGGGGGGCUGCAGUGGGGAAUAUUGGACAAUGGGGGCAACCCUGAUCCAGCCAUGCCGCGUGUGUGAAGAAGGCCCUCGGGUUGUAAAGCACUUUCAGUGAGGAAGAACGCCUGGUGGUUAAUACCCAUCAGGAAAGACAUCACUCACAGAAGAAGCACCGGCUAACUCCGUGCCAGCAGCCGCGGUAAUACGGAGGGUGCGAGCGUUUAUCGGAAUUACUGGGCGUAAAGCGCGCGUAGGUGGCUUGAUAAGCCGGUUGUGAAAGCCCCGGGCUCAACCUGGGAACGGCAUCCGGAACUGUCAAGCUAGAGUGCAGGAGAGGAAGGUAGAAUUCCCGGUGUAGCGGUGAAAUGCGUAGAGAUCGGGAGGAAUACCAGUGGCGAAGGCGGCCUUCUGGACUGACACUGACACUGAGGUGCGAAAGCGUGGGUAGCAAACAGGAUUAGAUACCCUAGUAGUC
rnacentral:rRNA from 1 species